rnacentral:rRNA from 1 species
GAUGAACGCUGGCGGCGUGCCUAAUACAUGCAAGUCGAGCGAACGGACGAGAAGCUUGCUUCUCUGAUGUUAGCGGCGGACGGGUGAGUAACACGUGGAUAACCUACCUAUAAGACUGGGAUAACUUCGGGAAACCGGAGCUAAUACCGGAUAAUAUUUGAACCGCAUGGUUCAAAAGUGAAAGACGGUCUUGCUGUCACUUAUAGAUGGAUCCGCGCUGCAUUAGCUAGUUGGUAAGGUAACGGCUUACCAAGGCAACGAUGCAUAGCCGACCUGAGAGGGUGAUCGGCCACACUGGAACUGAGACACGGUCCAGACUCCUACGGGAGGCAGCAGUAGGGAAUCUUCCGCAAUGGGCGAAAGCCUGACGGAGCAACGCCGCGUGAGUGAUGAAGGUCUUCGGAUCGUAAAACUCUGUUAUUAGGGAAGAACAUAUGUGUAAGUAACUGUGCACAUCUUGACGGUACCUAAUCAGAAAGCCACGGCUAACUACGUG